rnacentral:rRNA from 1 species
AAUGAACGCUGGCGGCGUGCCUAACACAUGCAAGUCGAGCGAGAAAUCCCGGGUUCGCCUGGGAGAGUACAGCGGCGCACGGGUGAGUAACGCGUGGGUAACCUGCCCUCGAGUGGGGGAUAACCUUCCGAAAGGAGGACUAAUCCCGCAUACGUCAUCAGGACACAAGUCCUGAUGGGAAAGAUGGCCUCUGUUUACAAGCUAUCGCUCUUGGAUGGGCCCGCGUUGGAUUAGCUAGUUGGUGAGGUAACGGCUCACCAAGGCCGCGAUCCAUAACUGGUUUGAGAGGACGACCAGUCACACUGGAACUGAGACACGGUCCAGACUCCUACGGGAGGCAGCAGUGGGGAAUUUUGGGACAAUGGGCGCAAGCCUGAUCCAGCCAUUCCGCGUGCAGGAUGAAGGCCUUCGGGUUGUAAACUGCUUUUGUACGGAACGAAACGGCGAAGCUCUAAUACAGUUUGCUAAUGACGUACCGUAAGAUAAGCACCGGUAACUACGUG